rnacentral:rRNA from 1 species
CGUACACUCCUGCGGGAGGCAGCAGUGGGGAAUCUUGCGCAAUGGGCGAAAGCCUGACGCAGCCAUGCCGCGUGAAUGAUGAAGGUCUUAGGAUUGUAAAAUUCUUUCACCGGGGACGAUAAUGACGGUACCCGGAGAAGAAGCCCCGGCUAACUUCGUGCCAGCAGCCGCGGUAAUACGAAGGGGGCUAGCGUUGCUCGGAAUUACUGGGCGUAAAGGGAGCGUAGGCGGACAUUUAAGUCAGGGGUGAAAUCCCGGGGCUCAACCUCGGAAUUGCCUUUGAUACUGGGUGUCUUGAGUAUGAGAGAGGUGUGUGGAACUCCGAGUGUAGAGGUGAAAUUCGUAGAUAUUCGGAAGAACACAAGUGGCGAAGGCGACACACUGGCUCAUUACUGACGCUGAGGCUCGAAAGCGUGGGGAGCAAACAGGAUUAGAAACCCGGGUAGUCCCAUG